rnacentral:rRNA from 1 species
AUUGAACGCUGGCGGCAGGCUUAACACAUGCAAGUCGAGCGGAGAUGAGGUGCUUGCACCUUAUCUUAGCGGCGGACGGGUGAGUAAUGCUUAGGAAUCUGCCUAUUAGUGGGGGACAACAUUCCGAAAGGAAUGCUAAUACCGCAUACGCCCUACGGGGGAAAGCAGGGGAUCUUCGGACCUUGCGCUAAUAGAUGAGCCUAAGUCGGAUUAGCUAAUUGGUGGGGUAAAGGCCUACCAAGGCGACGAUCUGUAGCGGGUCUGAGAGGAUGAUCCGCCACACUGGGACUGGGACACGGCCCAGACUCCUACGGGAGGCAGCAGUGGGGAAUAUUGGACAAUGGGCGGAAGCCUGAUCCAGCCAUGCCGCGUGUGUGAAGAAGGCCUUCGGGUUGUAAAGCACUUUCAGCGAGGAGGAAGGGAGUUGUGUUAAUAGCACAGCUUUUUGACGUUACUCGCAGAAGAAGCACCGGCUAACUCUGUGCCAGCCGCCGCAGUAAAAC